rnacentral:tRNA from 1 species
GAUUUAAGCUCAAUGGUCUAGAGAUAACGUACGUGUCUCGAAACCUCGGGGACCCGGGUUCGAUUCCCGGUCGAGAAACU